UCAAAGAUUACUGCAUGCUCUUCUUAAAACGUGACCUUGGUGCCUAUCCCAUUCAGUGGUGGAGUCUAUAUCCCCUACCUUUGAAACUGGACAGAGCUUUGUGACUGCUUUGACCACUAGAGCAUCCAGGAAGGGGUGUCAUGUGCAUUCUGAGGCUAGAUCAUACAAAUUCCAUGCAUUUCCGUUUUUUUCUCUUGGGAUACUUUCUCUUAGAACCCAGACACUAUGCUCCGAAGAGAUCCGAACUAUCCCAGGUUGAGAGAUCACACAAAGAGGCCACGUAUCGGUGUUCCAGCAAUUGCCCAGCCAAAGACCCCACUGCUGGCCAGAACUUCACAUCCAAGUGAAGACAACCCCAGAUUUUCUGGCGGCCAGCUGCUGAGUUACCUUCCCAUCCUCGUGUGUUGUCAGCCCUGCGAUUCUGGAGUUUCUUCUGGAAUGCUUCAUGAGACCCACCCCAGUUGCAGGCUCUCUGCCAAUACAUCUGGAUGGAAAGCUGACAAUCAGGGCCAGAGUAACCACGAACAGAGCUGUAAGGAUGGUCCAGUGAACGUUGGCUGAGCACCAGCUGUGUGUGCCCAGCAUGAUGCUAGGUCAAGGCUGUGUGCAGACCUGGCCAGGGCCAGGUGUACCCUGUAUGGCCUUCAGAGGCUGAGCAUGCCUGUGCUUGUGGUCCCAGUGUCGGGCUGGAAGUCAGAAGGCUGGGGGCAGAUCUCAGCUCGGCCACUCCCUUCGGUGAGCGUUUCACGAGCAUCUCCUCUAUGCUGUUGCUGGUCUGGGCCCCAGCGGGGCACAGAUGAGUAAGACCCAAUCCCCUUAUAGGAGUUUGCACAUAACUUGGAAGUUUAUGUAACCUCCCUUGGGCCUACUUUUCUUGCCUGUAAACAUUGAGCAAAUGUGAAAACCUUUCACACAUGGGCACCUGACACUCCAUGUAUUCUGGUGGAAGGAAACCAAACGUUCUCAGUCAUCCCCUUUCAGACCCUCACUCCAUGGACUUCUCUUCCUCAGUAGGGUGGCCAAACACAUCUUCACAGCUUCAGGAAAUCAAGAGUGGUUAGGAGAAUCUACCGAGCCUGGCUGGCAACGCUAACAGAACUAAAAACAAAUGAGCUUCCAGAAUUAAGGGCUUAGGGAGGAAAAAAACCCAAAUCCAGAGGGUGAUAGGCAGUUUUCAGCGAAGGCAAACAUUUCCCUGAGAAAGGGAAAGGAAUGAACAAGAACUCAUCAGAUUCCUGUCUAAACUUUAUUUUUUCUCAAGAAGCUCAAAUCACUUGCCAGCUCCUUCUGGGGUGGCCUCCCCCCUGCUUCUGUGAUGGCAUUGGUGAGACAGCAGGAGGAUGAGGGGGCCUUGGCAGUAGCUGGGGCUCCACGGGACAGUGGGAAGAGAGCUGGGAAGACCAAGGGAGUUGGGGCACUUGUGCUGGAGACCCAUCUCUGGGUAGGUCACUUUCUCUCAGUGUCAGGGUUCUCCUUCAUCUGUAACAUGUGGGGGUCAGCUGCAGGGGCCACGCUGGUGCUGUCCCCUACCACUGUGCCUCAGGCCCUGUGUUUAACUCAACACCCCCUUCUGAAACAACGCCUCAUUUCAAGUCACUUCAACCGACACUUCCUGUCCAAAACACUUCUUCCUCUUCCCCGGGCAAGCCCUGCCUUCCUGAAUACCCCCAUGCCAGAGCCCAAAGGCACGGGUGGGAUACUCCAGGGCUGUCUUCUCAUCCCAGUUGUUCCUCAGACCCACCAGGCUCUUUUUCAGCAUGGAAGCCUGGGCUCAGCCCAAGCAACUAAGGCACAUAUCCAGUAUCUUCUAAAAGCUCUCCUGGUGGUUCAAAGGUGCAUCCAGGGCCCAAACUCCUCUGUCUCAUGUAGACGCCAGUGAUCUCCUCCCUUUAUAAAAAUAAACUCAUGGCUCUUCCAAAGCCGUUCUGACCGACA